GAGAAAGAGAAGAAGAGCGAACGGGGGAUGCCUUGGCUUCCGGAAGCGAGGAAGGACGUGGUAAGCUGCGAAAAGCUCCGGGGAUUUGCAAACAGGAAUUGAUCCGGAGAUAUCCGAAUGGGGAAACCCCUGCAGUUGAAGGCUGCAGACCAUCUUUUGAUGGGGCAUACGCAGGGAACUGAAACAUCUUAGUACCUGCAGGAAGAGAAAGAAAUAUCGAUUCCCAAAGUAGUGGCGAUCGAAAUGGGAAGAGCCUAAACCGUUUACGUUACGGCGCAAGCGGGGUUGUAGGAUCACCUCUAAAGGACAUAUCAGGAACUGGAACUGUCUGGAAAGUCAGUCCACAGAGGGUGAAAGGCCCGUACAGGUAACGGGAUAUGUCCGAUGGUGACACCUGAGUAGGGCGGGACACGUGGAAUCCUGUCUGAAUCUGCGGCGACCAUGCCGCAAGGCUAAAUAUAACCGGAAGACCGAUAGUGGACCAGUACCGU
rnacentral:rRNA from 1 species